rnacentral:rRNA from 1 species
AGUGAACGCUGGCGGUAGGCCUAACACAUGCAAGUCGAACGGCAGCACAGUAAGAGCUUGCUCUUACGGGUGGCGAGUGGCGGACGGGUGAGGAAUACAUCGGAAUCUACUUUUUCGUGGGGGAUAACGUAGGGAAACUUACGCUAAUACCGCAUACGACCUACGGGUGAAAGCAGGGGAUCUUCGGACCUUGCGCGAUUGAGUGAGCCGAUGUCGGAUUAGCUAGUUGGCGGGGUAAAGGCCCACCAAGGCGACGAUCCGUAGCUGGUCUGAGAGGGUGAGCGGCCACACUGGAACUGAGACACGGUCCAGACUCCUACGGGAGGCAGCAGUGGGGAAUAUUGGACAAUGGGCGCAAGCCUGAGCCAGCCAUACCGCGUGGGUGAAGAAGGCCUUCGGGUUGUAGAGCCCUUUUGUUGGGAAAGAAAAGCAGCAGGUUAAUACCCCGCUGUUCUGACGGUACCCAAAGAAUAAGCACCGGCUAACUUCGUG